GUCUACGGCCAUACCACCCUGAACGCGCCCGAUCUCGUCUGAUCUCGGAAGGCUAAGCAGGGUCGGGCCCGGUUAGUACUUGGAUGGGAGACCGCCUGGGAAUACCGGGUGCUGUAGGCU
rnacentral:rRNA from 1 species